AACGAACGCUGGCGGCAGGCCUAACACAUGCAAGUCGAACGCUCCGCAAGGGGAGUGGCGCACGGGUGAGUAACACGUGGGAACCUACCUUCUGGUACGGAACAACCAAGGGAAACUCUGGCUGAUACCGUAUACGACCUCCGGGUGAAAGAUUGAUCGCCGGAAGAGGGGCCCGCGUCCGAUUAGGUAGUUGGUGAGGUAACGGCUCACCAAGCCUGCGAUCGGUAGCUGGUCUGAGAGGAUGACCAGCCACACUGGGACUGAGACACGGCCCAGACUCCUACGGGAGCAGCAGUGGGGAAUAUUGGACAAUGGGCGCAAGCCUGAUCCAGCCAUGCCGCGUG
rnacentral:rRNA from 1 species